AUACGUAGGGGGCGAGCGUUGUCCGGAAUUACUGGGCGUAAAGGGUGCGUAGGUGGCACUUUAAGUUGGAUGUGAAAUCCCCGUGCUUAACAUGGGAGCUGCAUCCAAUACUGGAGAGCUAGAGUGCAGGAGAGGUAAGCGGAAUUCCUAGUGUAGCGGUGAAAUGCGUAGAUAUUAGGAGGAACACCAGUGGCGAAGGCGGCUUACUGGACUGUAACUGACACUGAGGCACGAAAGCGUGGGGAGCAAACAGGAUUAGAUACCCUGGUAGUCCACGCUGUAAACGAUGAAUACUAGGUGUAGGGGGUAUCAACUCCCCCUGUGCCGCAGCAAACGCAAUAAGUAUUCCGCCUGGGGAGUACGGCCGCAAGGUUGAAACUCAAAUGAAUUGACGGG
rnacentral:rRNA from 1 species